GAUGAACGCUGGCGGCGUGCCUAAUACAUGCAAGUCGAGCGAACAGACGAGGAGCUUGCUCCUCUGACGUUAGCGGCGGACGGGUGAGUAACACGUGGAUAACCUACCUAUAAGACUGGGAUAACUUCGGGAAACCGGAGCUAAUACCGGAUAAUAUAUUGAACCGCAUGGUUCAAUAGUGAAAGACGGUUUUGCUGUCACUUAUAGAUGGAUCCGCGCCGCAUUAGCUAGUUGGUAAGGUAACGGCUUACCAAGGCAACGAUGCGUAGCCGACCUGAGAGGGUGAUCGGCCACACUGGAACUGAGACACGGUCCAGACUCCUACGGGAGGCAGCAGUAGGGAAUCUUCCGCAAUGGGCGAAAGCCUGACGGAGCAACGCCGCGUGAGUGAUGAAGGUGUUCGGAUCGUAAAACGCUGUUAGUAGGGAAGAACAAAUGUGUAAGUAACUAUGCACGUCUUGACGGUACCUAAUCAGAAAGCCACGGCUAACUACGUG
rnacentral:rRNA from 1 species